GAUGAAGAACGUAGUGAAAUGCGAUACUUGGUGUGAAUUGCAGAAUCCCGUGAACCAUCGAGUUUUUGAACGCAAGUUGCGCCCGAAGCCUUUUGGCCGAGGGCACGUCUGCCUGGGCGUCACGCAUCGCGUCGCCCCCCACAAUUCUCCGUAAAAGGAACAUGUGUUUUGGGGGCGGAUAUUGGUCUCCCGUGCUCAUGGCGUGGUUGGCCGAAAUAGGAGUCCUUUCGAUGGACGCACGAACUAGUGGUGGUCGUAAAAACCCUCGUCUUUUGUUUCGUGCUGUUGCUCGCAAGGUAAACUCUUUAAAAACCCCAAUGUGUCGUCUCUUGACGACGCUUCGACCGCGACCCCAGGUCAGGCGGGACUACCCGCUGAGUUUAAGCAUAUCAAUAAGCGGAGGA
rnacentral:misc_RNA from 1 species